rnacentral:misc_RNA from 1 species
GAUGAAGAACGUAGUGAAAUGCGAUACUUGGUGUGAAUUGCAGAAUCCCGUGAACCAUCGAGUCUUUGAACGCAAGUUGUGCCCGAAGCCAUUAGGCCGAGGGCACGCCUGCCUGGGCGUCACACGUCGUUGCCCCCCCAUCUACUCCUUCGGGAUUGCGGGGGGCGGAUGAUGGCCUCCCGUGCGCCUCGUCGCGCGGUUGGCAUAAAUGCCAAGUCCUCGGCGACGCACGCCACGACAAUCGGUGGUUGCGAAACCUCGGUUGCCCGUCGUGUGCGGUCGUCGCGCAUCGAGGGCUCGAAAAAAUUGUCGGGCUCCGGCUCGGCUUUCAACGCGACCCCAGGUCAGGCGGGGUUACCCGCUGAAUUUAAGCAUAUCAAUAAGCGGAGGA